AUUGAACGCUGGCGGCAGGCCUAACACAUGCAAGUCGAGCGGUAGAGAGAAGCUUGCUUCUCUUGAGAGCGGCGGACGGGUGAGUAAUGCCUAGGAAUCUGCCUGGUAGUGGGGGAUAACGUUCGGAAACGGACGCUAAUACCGCAUACGUCCUACGGGAGAAAGCAGGGGACCUUCGGGCCUUGCGCUAUCAGAUGAGCCUAGGUCGGAUUAGCUAGUUGGUGAGGUAAUGGCUCACAAGGCGACGAUCCGUAACUGGUCUGAGAGGAUGAUCAGUCACACUGGAACUGAGACACGGUCCAGACUCCGACGGGAGGCAGCAGUGGGGAAUAUUGGACAAUGGGCGAAAGCCUGAUCCAGCCAUGCCGCGUGUGUGAAGAAGGUCUUCGGAUUGUAAAGCACUUUAAGUUGGGAGGAAGGGUUGUAGAUUAAUACUCUGCAAUUUUGACGUUACCGACAGAAUAAGCACCGGCUAACUCUGUGCCAGCCGCCGCGGUAA
rnacentral:rRNA from 1 species